rnacentral:lncRNA from 1 species
UUUUUCUUUCUCUUCAGUCUCUCGGGUAUUAUCUCCCUUCGCCUUCAUUUCACUUACCUUCUCAGUUGUUGUUUUGUUUGGUUUUUGGUACAUGGCAGGAUUUUGGAGUCUUGGAUCUACGGGUCCGUCUAGUUCUUUUCCACUCCUCAAUAUAACGGCAUUUGCAUGUCCUUUUGGAUUAGGUUACAGCUGUCCAUGAAAUGUGCCAGCGGGAGCGGCAGUAGAUGCUUGUUGUUG